UGGGGAAUAUUGCACAAUGGGGGAAACCCUGAUGCAGCGACGCCGCGUGAACGAAGAAGGUAUUCGUAUCGUAAAGUUCUGUCCUAUGGGAAGAUAAUGACAGUACCAUAGAAGAAAGCUCCGGCUAAAUACGUGCCAGCAGCCGCGGUAAUACGUAUGGUGCGAGCGUUGUCCGGAAUUAUUGGGCGUAAAGGGUACGCAGGCGGUUUAAUAAGUCGAAUGUUAAAGAUCGGGGGUCAACCCCGUAAAGCAUUGGAAACUGAUAAACUUGAGUAGUGGAGAGGAAAGUGGAAUUCCUAGUGUAGUGGUGAGAUACGUAGAUAUUAGGAGGAAUACCAGUAGCGAAGGCGACUUUCUGGACACAAACUGACGCUGAGGUACGAAAGCGUGGGGAGCAAACAGG
rnacentral:rRNA from 1 species